rnacentral:tRNA from 1 species
ACCGGUGUGGCUCAGUGGAUAGAGCAUCUGCCUGCAGACUGAGGGGUCCCAGGUUCAAUUCCUGACAAGGGCA